CUACGGGAGGCAGCAGUGGGGAAUAUUGGACAAUGGGGGAAACCCUGAUCCAGCAAUGCCGCGUGAGCGAUGAAGGCCUUAGGGUUGUAAAGCUCUUUUACCCGGGAUGAUAAUGACAGUACCGGGAGAAUAAGCCCCGGCUAACUCCGUGCCAGCAGCCGCGGUAAUACGGAGGGGGCUAGCGUUGUUCGGAAUUACUGGGCGUAAAGCGCACGUAGGCGGCUAUUCAAGUCAGGGGUGAAAGCCCGGGGCUCAACCCCGGAAUUGCCCUUGAAACUAGAUAGCUAGAAUCAUGGAGAGGUGAGUGGAAUUCCGAGUGUAGAGGUGAAAUUCGUAGAUAUUCGGAAGAACACCAGUGGCGAAGGCGGCUCACUGGACAUGUAUUGACGCUGAGGUGCGAAAGCGUGGGAGCAAACAGGAUUAGAAACCCGGGUAGUCC
rnacentral:rRNA from 1 species